GGUGAAGCACUGAAUCACGAUCAAGAUGUAAAGCUCCAGGACGACCUUGAUCUCCAGGACGACCUUAAGCUCCAGGACAAUCAUAGUGAGGAAGAUAUGGACCUGUCCAGUGGAUGCAGUUAUAAGUCUGGACUCCAGCCUGAACCUGCUAUCCCCAUACCUGCUAUCCCCCGUAGAAGUCGUCAAGGUCCUGGGAGUGCCGGAAGGAUACUGUGUCAACUUUGUUAGAAACACCAAGUGUAAACACAGUCCGUGCAAGUACAAACACAGUCAGCCAUCAAAGGAGGAUAUGAUUUCCAUGGUGUUCAAAGACCUGGGACAUCUUAUGUCAACAGACAUGCAUCAUCUGAUGUUCGCCAAGUUUCACAACCUAGCAACUUACUAUGAUGGGGAUGUUGCAAUCUGUGGCGACGUGUUGCAGUGCAUGCUGCGCUGGGCGAUGCGGACAGACAGCUACUCUCAGAUUGACUACCUACUGCCGUUGGCAACAAAGGAUCCAAACCUCCUCCUAUAUGCGAAGGAUGCAAUCCAGGCGAUGGUGCAGGUGAUGCAGAACCCAUUGAAGGAAAAUGUAAAGCCAGCAUGUUUCCAAGCAGUAUCCAGCAUCUUCAGCAGGAUGAGGAGCCAGGGGCUAACCCUUAGCACUAACUGUCUCACACAGCUACUACAAGUGUCGCAGCACACGUUGAUGCUUCAAGAUGUAGUACUCUACUGUCAGAAUCAGAAACAUGCCGUACCCUCCAGCAUCAAGCAAGUAGCGCUGCUGUCUCACCUGGACGACAUCACAUUCAGGGGAAAGGCAGAGUUGAUACUUCACAACAUGACGGAAAAAUCAAUGAAGGCGCUGGGGAUUGAGGUCAUAGAGAAAUUGUCAACAGUGCAGUGGUCCCCUGAGAGGGAUACACAGCAUAAAGUCAUGAGAGUCUAUCAAACCAUGACAGUUGAACCUUCCAAGGACUUGGUUGCGUAUUGGGAGGAUGAAGAACUGGAGGACGAGGUGCAGUCAGACAGUGAAGACUACAAGGGAAUAUACCACAUGAUUGCUGGAUGUAGGCAGUCCAUGAACUGGAAAUAUCUUGCCCAAAUCUACAUGAUGCAGUGCACUUCCAACACCCUUCCCAACUCCAAGUUCCUAAAGGUGUAUGUCGACGUGCUCCAUGAUAAACAGGAUUCCCUCAAGACUGCCAGUUACUUCCACGCUUUCCUUAAUAAUGUGUUCAACCAGUACCAGGAAGACAUGAUGACGGAUGCCCUGCUGUCAUUAGACAGACGGACAUUAGCCCGCAUCGGGUUUCACCUGCUAGUUCGUACCAGAAAGUCCCCUCCAUAUGGACAGUGCUGCACCCUGAUAGCUGACAUCCUGGACAAUGAUCUCCCCUGCAACAAUCUCCGUCCAGACAUGGGGUACUCCUUCCACUCGACAGUGAUGGAGGUGUGUCUGCAGACAUCCCAGCUGGAUCGCUUGCUACAGUUCAUACAAGGUCUGUGUCCAACAGAUGUCUACACGCAUGGGGCUAAAGAACGCCCAGAUCUGUGGCCUAGUCAGCUGUUGUGGGCCAUUAAUCUCCUUUGCAGCAACUCCCGAAUACCAGAAGCAGCUGAUGUCCUGGCUUUCUUUCAUACUCAGAUGCCAGACACAGAUGCACUCUUGAGAGACCACCACAUAAAAGUUGUUGGUCAGCUGAUGGAGUUGGCACUGUGUCAGGGAGAUCUGGACACAGCCAUAAAGGUGUUUGACCUUGCGAAGACCACGCUCCAGAUCAAUCACCUCCGCCAACUUCUCCUCCAGUGUUUCCACAGCAACAUGUGUACCAAGGCUCUUGGCAUCUUCAAUCUUCUCCGACCCUUUUUGACAAAUAGGAACUCUCAAAAGCUCAUUGUAAUAACAAACAGUUUCCACUUCAAUGAGAUCGAGAUGAUCAUCCGUUCUCAUCUGGUAGACCUGUACCAUCAACUGUGUCAGCUGAUGCAGUCUGAGGGACGUACGCCCACAGAUGAUAACCUUGCCCUCAUGGUUACUCUGGAUGACCACACAAAUCUGAUGCCCAAGACGGCUCAGGACACCCUUGAUGAAGUCAUGCUGAUCUUCAGUAAACUUGGAGUGGAUAGUCGCCAAACAAUGCCCUUUGAAGUCAUGGUGGAUAUCAAGACACUGAAGGAGUACAUGAGAGGCUGCGAUGAACAAGCAAGAAAUCUGGGCCUGUUUCAAUCAUCUUCUGAAGAAAAUCAACAAGUGAGUUUGUAUGAAUCUCAGGGAAGAUCUCAUUCAAGAGAGACAGAGUUCACCAACGUUAGGGGUCGAGGUAAAUAUCAAUCCAGAAGUCAAGGUUACAUUAGGAGCGGUCAACGUCACCGCAUGAGGGGUCAAAGUCAUGACAUCAGAUAUCCUGGUCACAGCAUUAGAGGUCAAAGUCAUGACAGAGGUCAUGGUCACAGCAGAGGUCGAGGUCGAUAUCACAGAGGUCGUCUUCACAACAGAUGAAGGAAACUUUUGAAAUUAUGUGUUCCAGAGACAAAAACGGUUUUGGCCGACCUCAAGUGAUGCUUCAUUGUAAAAAUCACAUAUGGCUUGUAAAAUCUGCAUUGAGACUAGUGCAGGUCUCAGGUGAUGUUUAUGUUGUUGUAAUCCAGUAAUCACAUAUGUCUUCACUGCAGCGAGAGUAUGGCGGAUAUUGUGAUAUCACUUUCAAAGAAUUCUGAACUUGGUUUCAGCUUACAAGUAUGUGAUAGCUGUUCGUGUGAAUUUAUCUAGUCAAUCUGUUAAUCAAAACAGUCAUUUUGUAAGCAUUUGGCUUGCACACCCUGUUAUCCUGCAAUUGAUGUAUUUUAAAGAAUGUUGCUCUUUUUUAGCACAGUUGCAAUUUUAUCCACCAUUUGUUACAGGGUAUGCAUUUAUUACGCAAGUUUUGGAAUGAACUACUUCUAAUGCCUCAAGGCAGAUAAUCUCUCUGGGUGUACAAAACUAAUAGACCAUUAAACUAUGUCCACCAUUUCAUAAUGACAAUUAAGGGGAUUUUACAAAACUAAACCAGUAAAACACGAAUGAACGAUGGGAGAAGGACCUAGCUCUAUGUCAAGUAAGGGGUGGGGUAGCCUAGUGGUUAUAGUCUUCGCUCGUCAGACCGAAGACCUGGGUUCAAUUCCCCUCAUGGGUACAAUGUGUGAAGUCCAUUUCUGGUGUACCCUGCCAUGAUAUUGCUGGAAUAUUUCUAAAAGCGGCUUAAACUUAAACUCACUCAUUAUUCAUUACUCAAGUAAUGGUACUUUGUUAUCUUAAACAAUCCUGUAGAACGUAAAACAUGUUAGCAGCAGCUUGACAAGUAUCUAAAAAUAACCGCAAGGACUUUGUAGUAAUAUUUAGCAAGACCACUUGUAGGUCACUUGUCUUCCAGUAGUGUUGGUAGUGUUAUAUAGCGAUAGGGAACAUAGUUGCUAAGUUGGCAAUGAACACAAGACAUGGUUACCAUGUUGUAAGCAGGUGAUUAGGUCCUAAAGUAUUAGAUAGUCUUUAAAUUUGAGUAUAGUCUAGCAAUGGCCCACGUGUUACUAUAGUAAUGAUCCCAUGGCAUAGAACCAUACAGUUACACCCAUAGGCUAACAGGUUUCUCUAGAUGGAACUAUAGUAGUGAUCCCACGGCAUAGAACCAUACAGUAACACCCAUAGGCUAACAGGUUUCCCUCGAUGGAACUAUAGUAGUGAUCCCACGGCAUGGAACCAUACAGUAACACCCAUAGGCUAACAUGUUUCCCUAGAUGGAACUAUAGUAGUGAUCCCCAGCCUAGAAAGGGCUUCCUUAGGCCCUAGAUGGAAGUAUAGUAGUGAUCCCCAGCCUAGAAAGGGCUUCCUUAGGCCUUAGAUGGAAGUAUAGUAGUGAUCCCCAGCCUAGAAAGGGCUUCCUUAGGCCCUAGAUGGAAGUAUAGUAGUGAUCCCCAGCCUAGAAAGGGCUUCCUUAGGUCUUAGAUGGAACUAUAGUAGUGAUCCCCAGCCUAGAAAGGGCUUCCUUAGGCCCUAGAUGGAACUAUAGUAGUGAUCCCCAGCCUAGAAAGGGCUUCCUUAGGUCUUAGAUGGAACUAUAGUAGUGAUCCCCAGCCUAGAAAGGGCUUCCUUAGGCCCUAGAUGGAAAUAUAGUACUGAUCCCCAGCCUAGAAAGGGCUUCCUUAGGUCUUAGAUGGAACUAUAGUAGUGAUCCCCAGCCUAGAAAGGGCUUCCUUAGGCCCUAGAUGGAACUAUAGUAGUGAUCCCCAGCCUAGAAAGGGCUUCUUUAAGCCCUAGAUGGAACUAAGUUAGUGAUACCACAAUCUAGUAUGUGUUUCCUAGGCCAUAGUUGGAACUAAAGGACUGUUUCCAUAGUCAUGUAUGUGCUUCCUUAGGCCCCAGAUGAUUCUCCAGCUGUCUGGGUUACCAAAGGCUGUACGGGCCGUACGUGACUAGGCCUUCAACACUCUAUGAACUGACUGCAGGAAAUGAAUGAAUACUACAAAAAUGCUUGGGCUGCCCCUUGACCAAGUAAUAAUUAAAAACACCCAAAGGUUCCCUGUCUAGCUUGUUCAUUCCAGCCCAUAUGAAGCUUAGUUAGUUUCCUCAUUAUAUUUGGACUGGUUCAGGGUUUUUCCAUGAAACCAGCAAUAGCUAUCCAGAGCUGCACUGAGAAAGAGAACUGAGAAGUCAUAGGUAGGUCACUUGUUUCAAAAUCAAUCACUGGAAUGUCUGGUCCAGACUGGACUAUUUGACUGGCAUGAUAUUGCAGGAAGAAUGCUGAAAAUGGUGUAAAUAAUAAAUGUGCAUAUGCAAAAUGUCCAGGUGGCAAUAGUGUGAUACACUUACAUCAUGUUAUACAAGUUUAACAAUUGUAUUUCACACAAGUAGGACAAAGAGGCAUCAUCAUCCCAUGUUCCUGUGUCAGCUUGGCUUAUAUUAAAUGUUAGCAAAGGACUAAUUUCAGCCUGUUUAGUGGAUGCCCAUGUUAUCGUUGUCUGUGAAUCCCUAAAAGUAAGAUUUGAUCUUAAAUGGAGUCAAAUCUCAGUCUUCGUCCUUAACCUUGGUCUGUCAACAUGGCUGGGUAUAAACAUUUAAGACCCUGACUCUUUGAACAUUCCUCCAAAGUUGAAUCAACAGCUGUGAUAUACUUAGAGAUAUUAUUCGAAGUGGCAUUAAUCACUUUUCCUGACUUAAUUAUGCAAAUGUUGAGGUGUUUGAUAAAAGAAGGAAUGGAUACAUAGAUGAGUGUGCGUUUGUUGACCAAUACUCAAAUUAUUUGUGUCUGAAAAUAUCCAAAUGCUGUGUGAUAACUUGCGUUUUAUGUGUACAAACAUUUUCUUUUAGUUAUUUAUGAAGAUUUCAGUUUGGAGAUUUCAGCCAGGUUUAGAUGGUAUGCUAGCUUUCUGUCAUCCAAUAUAGCAUUGCUUUUAGUUUCCAUUUUGUUGUUUCUCAUCUGUUGAUAGUUUCAUUGUUGGCAAAGAGAACUGUAAAUAUGAUAAACCCAUUGUGCCAAAUACCAAGCAAUCCCCAACGGAAGGUUUUUAUGUUUCUAUUAUUUUAUGUCAUUUUAAGUUGCAAUACUUGGGAACUGACUGUCUUGGAGACAAUCCGUGGAUUUUCUCAAAAUUCGCAGUAAAGGCUUAAAAAGUUGUGCUUCAGAUUGUUACAAAAUUGAGAAAUUGUCUGUCAAAAUAAUACAUGCAAGGUGGUUAUUUUAAACAAAUAAAUAUUUGGCCUCUUGUUUUAAUACAUGUAUUAGAAAUUAUCUGCUUUUGCAUGUGCAGCUAAACCAAUCUCCGUACAAAAUGUCAUGUCAUCCCCAGAAUAUCAGAUAUCAGUAUCUUAGUGCCAGCACGUUAGUAUUGUUUUGUUGGGCCAUGACUGACACAGUGUGCUGUCUGCAGAUUCAGUGUGCUGUCCGCUGAUUUAGUGUGCUGUCUGUAAAUUCAGUGUGCUGUCUGCAGAUUCAGUGUGCUGUCCGCUGAUUUAGUGUGCUGUCUGUAAAUUCAGUGUGCUGUCUGUAGAUUCAGUUUGCUGUCUGCAGAUUCAGUGUGCUGUCUGCAGAUUCAGUGUGCUGUCUGCAGAUUCAGUGUGUUCUCUGCAGAUUCAGUGUGUUCUCUGCAGAUACAGUGUGCUCUCUGCUGAUUCAGUGUGCUGUCUGCAGAUUCAUGUGAUGUCUGCAGGUUAGUGUCAGAAUGCAGGGUGCACACACAUUCUUUUUGAAGUGUACGAAUAGUGUUGACAUAUAAAUAUCGUAAUAUUAUCAUUGGAAGAAAUUAUUUUCAAAAGUGUGCUGUAACUCUACUUUAACUAACAUUGCCUUGCUGUCGUUGGACGUUAAUCAACAUAUGAAAUUUGAUUGCAUAAUAUCAAAAGAACGGUCCUAGGAUAACCAAUCGUCUUGUGUCAGCCAUCUUACAUGUUGAAUAACAAAUGCCACAGAUCUGGCAUUGUGAUACAUAAAAAUUGUUGUUUUGGGUUUUUUCAAACUUGCACCAUGUUAGGGAAAGUGUGUUUUUUUUCAACUCAUUUGUUUAUUCUUGACCUGCAAGUGUAAUAUAACUGAAGAUUUUUGUUAUGUUUUUAUUGAUCAUUGUUAGUUUAAAAGGCAUUCCGUUGUUGAAGAAAUAUCUUUGAUUUUUGUGUGAACUGUUUCAUUUGUCAUGCUGAUGUACUUGAGCAGAUGCGUGUCACAUGCUUGUAGAAGUUGGUUUACUGAUAAUACCUGUGUCUGUGUUGAGUCGUUACGGUCAUACCUUCCAUGGAGAACAACCAUGUUGAUCAUAGGCAUGCCAGGUUACAAUCGGGCAGGAAAAACCUAAGCUGUUUGUGAGAGGCAGAUGCGGUGGUCAGACUCUGUGGAUGACAUGUAAUCAUACGCUGGCUAUAUAAAUAUUUGCUCAUAUCAUUCACCGGAUGUGAAUCAAUUUCUUACAGACUGCCAUCUUCUAGCUGAAAUACUGCAGAUAUGUAAAAUCAUGCACUCACACACACGCAUGCACACGCACGAUACUGUCUUUUUAACUUCAAAUAGGACAGAAAUAUAUUUCAUAUGAUCUCUGGUUGCAAUCUAGUCAAAUGUAAAAUAAAUAUAAAUCUAUUUCAUUUAAACUGCAUGCAUUGUAUCAAAUGUACAGUGGGGAGCUUGAACAAGAUUUGAACAAAUACAGGAAUGGUUUUGAAAUAAGGGCAUGACCAUUUAUGAAUUACUCGCUCUUGAUGUUCAGAGCAGUCAUGUGUUACGUAAACUUGUGCACAUAGUAGAUAGUAGUUUCAUUUCACCUUGGUAGUGGCAAUGAAUGUGUUGUGUUACAUGGUAUGGCCUCUGGGUUGAUUGAACCCAGAAGGUUCACACUGAACCUUAUCUUCCAUACCAUGUCAGCAGAUGGGCCUUUUGAUCAGUGUUCACAUAUUCCACUGACGUCACAAUCUACAUUAACCUAGAAACCUGAAUAUGCAGGUAUAUUGCAGUUUAGUUGCAAAUUUGUUGGUUGUUAUAUUUGCGUUUUCAGAUUUGAUUUGUUUCACUUGUCAAAAUGACCGUUUCAGUUAUUACAUAACAGUUGACAUUAAUUUCAAUAAAUUGAUAAUCAUGUAUGUCUGAUGAUCAUGUGGGCAUGUUUGAGAAAUGGAAGAUCAUUUUGAGUGUAGCAGUUUCGGGUAUAAAAGGACAGUUUUCUUCUGUUCCAAUAUGUGCCUUACCGCUGUAAGAGGUGUUAAAUUACACAUAAAACAAAUCUUUUGGUUUUGAUUUGUGAAUAGGCGUCUCAAGAACAGACCAAAAUGAAUUCUUUUGAUGGAUAUGGUCUGAUACAAUAAUAAUGGAAUUUUGAAUGAUUCAUUGUUCAAAGUGACAGUCAAACUUUUCGGGAAUAAUGUUGUACAUACAUGCAUGAAAAAUAUGCAAGAUAUGCAAAAAGUUAGUUUCCUUCUUUGUUUUGCAAUAUUGCUGAUGUGGCUUUCUGAAAAAAAAAUCACUUUUUGUUUAGUCAGCAGGACACUGAUUGGGUACGUGAUGUUGCCUGGAUCUUGUGUUUUCUUGAAGGAUGUGCCUGUUGAAACUGUUUCACAAACCCACAGUUAAAGGGUAUUUUGUACUUUGAGUGAUUAUUUCUUUGUUACUGAAUCAUUUUAUCAGAAUAAUACUUUUGUAUCGAACAAAUCAAAAUGUAAUAAAUCAUGAUCAUGUUUUUAAAA